UUUAUACUCCCUCCGUCCCAAAAUUAUUGUCUUAGAUUUGUUUAGAUAUGAAUGCAUCUAAUCAUGUUUUAGUAAUUUGAUACAUGCAUUUCUAGACAAACCUAGGAUAAGAAUUUUGGGACGGAGGGAGUACUUU
rnacentral:pre_miRNA from 1 species